GCAAACAGAAUUGUAAUCUAUAGAAAUUCACAGAAGGAUUAUUUCUCGCAUAAGUCCAUGGAACUGGAUAGCAUAGAGGGUGAUACUCCCGUGUUGGCGAAGAAAUAGCUGUAUGUGUGUUUUCAAUGAGUCGGGUUGCUUGGGAAUGCAGCCCUAAAAGGGAGAUAAACUUCUUCUAAAGCUAAAUAUUUAUGGGAAACCGAUAGCGAACAAGUACUGCGAAGGAAAGAUGAAAAGAACUUUGAAAAGAGGGUUAAAAGAUUUGAAAUCGUUGAAAAGGAAGCAGUAGAAGAAACUCUCUGAGUGUGACAAUGUUAUUGUAUCCAGGUUAUCAGUUGUAUUAAUUCUUCAUUGGUUAUAUGAUUGUUAUACUUGAUAUUAUGAUUUAUUGCAUUUAGAAGACAAAAUGAGGUAUUGUAUAUAAUAAACACUAUUUAGAACGACCCUGGCCCCGGCUAGUAGUCUAUUUAGAAUAUUAUAUCAUAAUGCCUGAGGGUUUCCUUUAUGGAGAUUUUGUCGAAAUGGCUUCUACUGACCCGUCUUGAAACACGGACCAAGGAGUCUAACACGUAUGCGAGUUUGCGGGAGGAAAAACCCAUAAGCGCAACGAAAGUAAGUUUAAGAUGCCAAUCGCAAGAUGCAGCAUCAACCGACCUUGAUCUUUUGUGAAGGGUUCGAGUAAUAGCAUAUUUGUUAGGACCCGAAAGAUGGUGAACUAUGCUUGGGUAGGGUGAAGCCAGGGGAAACUCUGGUGGAAGCUCGUAGCGAUACUGACGUGCAAAUCGUUCGUCAAACCUGAGUAUAGGGGCGAUAGACUAAUCGAACCAUCUAGUAGCUGGUUCCCUCUGAAGUUUCUCCCAGGAUAGCUGGAACAAUUUGAGCAGUUUUAUCAGGUAAAGCGAAUGAUUAGAGGAAUUAGGGAUCAAAGAUCCUUGACCUAUUCUCAAACUUUAAAUUGGUAAGAACUGGUAGUUUUCUUAAUUUGAACUACCAGAAAGAAUGCAUUGUUCUUAGUGGGCCAUUUUUGGUAAGCAGAACUGGCGAUGAGGGAUGAACCUAACGUUAGGCUAAGGCGCCAAAAUUCUCGCUCAUCGGAUACCCCAAAAGGUGUUGAUACAUUUAGACAGCAGGACGGUGGC
rnacentral:rRNA from 1 species